rnacentral:lncRNA from 1 species
UAAAGCCCCACACGCCCCUUUGGACUUCGCCUGGGGCUGUGAUUCACCUCUGCGAUUCACAUCAAGUCCUUCUAGAGCUCCUCUUCCAGCUACCCUGGCCCCUGGCUCGGCACACUGGAAUAUUAAGGAUUAGCAGUUCUUUCCUGGAGCUGUUCAGUUCAACAAAACUGUGAGGACCACCUGCUGGCCAGGUGCAGACAGGUGACAUAAAGGUCAUUUUCACCCUGCUCACAGGAAGCUCUACCUGCUUAAAGCACCCACUGGCUUUCUUCUGAGAUCACUCAGGACUGGCCAGGUUUGUCCAUCAAGUUCCAACUGGGAAAAGGUCUUUCUCAUGAUUUAGUCUCCACCUAGGAGCUUUUGCCUCUGGAUUGCCAAGGGCUGUUGCAUCAACCAGGCUGGGUGGGCUUCCACGAGGGUCCUGCAGCUGAUCACCCCCUGGUGUGGCUGAGGCCAGGGCCUCUGCUGCUGGCCUCUUGUGCUCCCUGCCCUCCGUCUCCAUAUUCAGGGCUCACCGAGGGCCUGGAGGGAGGCUCCUGUCCUAAAAGUCAGCUUACAGCACACCGCAGCCACCCCUGGUGCUGGCACACAUCCCUCUGGCCGCUGUCACCCAGCUGGGCUCUUCUACCAUCCCCAGUGAGGAUUGGGUGGAACCCCUGAUAAGAUUUCUGGUUCUUUCUCUGUCUCAGGCAGAGGGUACAAAUUGAAAUCAAAGGAUUAUGCUUGUUAAACUGACCCCAGGGGGGGCUGUUGACUGUCACCACAUUCACAGCCCAGCCUUGUGAUGAGCUCAGCUGGCUCACAUUAACAUGCUUCUCCAUCUCUCUGCCACGUUCCUGCAUUAGUGUUUGCAGACUGGGAAACAUUUCUGUACUCAGAUUGUCUGCGUGCAGAUGCUGGCUUGGCUGCCUUCUGUGUGCCUCUGGGCAAGUAAAUUAGUUUUCCCGGGCUUCAAUUUCUUCAGCAAUAAAACUGAGACUGCUCUUAGCUACCUCAGAGGGCUCCUCGAAGGCUUUGACAACCUAGUGUCUGGUAAGUACUUAACCCAGUGCCCGGCACAUUGUAAUGCUCAGUAAACACCUGUAGUAUUUAUUAUAAUUAUACCUCUACUUGGUGGUACUUUUCUUAUCUCUCUUUUCUGAUUACCUGAUUUAAACCACCCAGCAAUUCUGGGAGGUAGAAGUUACUGUGUCUGUUUUACGUAUGCAGACACCAAGUCUCAGGGAAAUUGAGUAAUUUGUCCCAGGUUAUGAAGCUGAAACCUGAAAGCUUGCUCUUUUGGGCUUUGGUCUGUGGGAAUUCCAGAGCAUCGGCUCUCCUUCUCACUGUUUCCAGACUCUCAGAGAUGACCCAGCUCGGUCAAGCUGCCAGGGUCCUGUCCGGGCCUGUCCCCUAAUUCAGAAUCCUACAUUUCUGAGAGAUCUUCCCUGGGUUCCCGAGUUCAGCCAUAAGUCGUCCCAAGCCCCCACCACCCCUGGGUGGGAGAUUCCCGAGCACUGGGCCCCAUUCUGUUUUCCUCUUCAUCCCUGGGCCAGACCACCCUGGGCUGUGCACCCCAUUUUACCACUUUCUCUUGGCCACACAAGAGGGUUCUGCCUUCCAGGACACCAGGGUGCCCUUCCACAUGCUGUAGCCUCACAUUAGGAAAGGGAAGCUGGGCCAUGCAGGAUUUCAGUGCAGGCAUCAGGCCUGGGAAGUUCAUGCCCAAAGUUGGCAGGGAUCCCUUAAGUGAGGGCAGCCCAGCCCAGUGUCUGUUGUUACUUUCCCCCUAGGAUUGCAAAAUGCCUUCAAAGGGAGCCCAACCAGCUGCUUAGUCUGCCAUUUAAAGGUUACAAAAUGCGGAUAAACACGACAAAGACACCAAGACUUCUGUGUGUAUAUGAAAAAUUCAGAUGUAACCUUUAAAUUGGGAUUAACUUUCCCCCCUGUCCUAGAGCUCAUGCUUAGUAUGUGUAGUCUGCUCCUAGGUGUUUUGAAGUUGCACAUGGAAUGAGGGGACUCCAUGGUCAGCCGUGCUGGGUUAAGUAGUUUUCGUCAAUGGAAGGCUUUUCUCAGCCUUAAUGGAAUGUGAAACUCUAGAGAAUGUUGCUUGCAGCAUUUCUGAACCAAGACCCCAAGACCCUGGGGUUUUUCCUUUUUUCCUCCCAGAGCACCUAUUGAAGCAAGUAUUUCAGUAGACUAGGAGGUCAGAGACUGGGGCUUGGUCCUGAUGGCCAGUGGCAGCCAUGUGACCUGAAUAAGCCACGCUGUACAGGUUGUAGCAUUCUCAGCCUUGUAAUAAACAUGUGGGGCCACUAAAUGAUUUUCUAAAUAUGCCAUUCCAUAUUUGGGUUCCAUUAGAAUACUUCUCGUGUGUGUUUUCUGGGAGAUGGAGAGGUGGAAGGCAGUUAAGGAGAGAAAGGAAAGGGCCCAGCGUGAUCAUUCCUGUGCAAAGUCAGUCUGCUUAUUAUCUUUUAUUGUUCUGUUUCCUUUACUUGGAACUCAGUAUACUUGUGAACCCCUGUUUCACCCCUGUCAUGGCUUUCCUAACCCCUUGUUUCCCCUCACAUCCUCCACCUAUGACCAGUCAUCAAGUUCUGUUGGCUCAGCCUCUAAGAUCCAUCCUUUAGUUCUUCUCCUCCUGUCCCCAACCCUUGCCUUCAUCACCUCUCCACUGCACCACUGCGAGUCUUCUAGCUGGUGUCUCAGUUUCUCUCUUGCUCCCUAAACUCCAUUCUCUACUCUGAAGCCAGCUUGGAACUUCUUCAUGGGAAACAAAAUUUAUGUGAGCUUUCUCUUUCAAGUGGCACUUUUGCCAAGUAUACUAAUGGUGCUAGGGUGGGAUACUGGUUGAAUGUAAAUUGUUUGGCCUAAUGGGACUUACUUAUCUAUUCAUUAAAAAAACUUUCCUAAAUGGCUACUAUAUGCAUUAUUCCUGGUGCUGGGCCCAGAAUGGCAGGCAGGUUGGACCUAGUCUUUACUCCUACAGUGGUGCUCAAAUGUCAGCAGGCGUGCAUCCACAAAGAAAGCUUGCUAGAAUAGAGUGUGGGCCCAACCCUCAGAGUACCCCUGGUGAUGCUGGUGUGGCUUUUCCAGAGACCACACUUUAAGAACCAAUGGUAUAAUGAAUGGAAAAGAAAAAGUACAUGAGAAAACAAGUGAAAUAAUUGUCAGCUUUACUUCACGCUUUACUGGAACACCAGGGACCAGUUAAGGACUUACUUAAGGUGAGAUGGGCAGAAGGUUCUUUCUGAGAAGAUAAUAUUUAGACCUAGACCUAAAGGAAGGGUGGGGUCUCUCUAUGUCUGGCAAAGAAUAUCCAACAAAAACUGAGCCUGUCCAAAGACUGUGUGGUGGGAAAGAUCUUGGCAUGUCUAAGAAACACAGUGAGGCUGAACAUAGAGAAUGUCAGGCUCAGGAGAGAUGGAAGAAUAAGUUCUCAUAGGGUAUUUCAGGCUGAAACAUGAAGAUUUUGUUCUGAGCACAGUGGGAUGCUUCUGAAGGACUUAGGCCAGCUGUGGAAUAGAGGGUGGAUGUCAGGGAGCAGGAUGAUCGCUGGAAUGCUAGCUGAAAGACCUUGCUUUGGUCUAGGGGAGAGAAGACAGUGGCUAGGACUAGAACGCAGCAGUGGGAAUGGGAAAGAGGAGAUGGAUGAGAGGAUGGAUCUUAGAGGCUGAGCCACCAGGACUUGGUGACUGGAUGUGGGCAGAAGGCAGUGGGGAAAGUGUGGAGUUAAAGAUGGCUCCUUAGUGGGAUUGCUGAUCAUAUGAUAGUUCUAUUAUUAGUUUUUUGAGGAACCUCCAUGCUGUUUUCCAUAGUGGUUGUACCAUUUACAUUCCUACCAAGAAGAGGAUUCCCUUUUCUCCAUACCCUCUCCGGCAUUUACGGUUUGUAGACUUUUUGAUGAUGGCCAUUCUGACUGGUGUGAGGUGGUACCUCAUAGUAGUUUCAAUUUAGAUUUCUCUAAUAAUUAAUGAUGUUGAGUAUCCUUGCAUGUAUUUUCUGGCCAUCUGUGUGUCUUCUUUGGAGAAAUGUCUAUUUAGAUCUUCUGCCCAUUGUUUGAUUGGGUUGUUUGUUUUUUGCUAUUGAUCAGUAAGAGGUAUUUGUAUAUUUUGGAGAUUAAUCACUUGUCAGUCGCUUCAUUUGCAAAUAUUUUCUCCCAGUCUAUGGGUCUUUUUUUGGUUGUUUGUUUAUAGUUUCCUUUGCUAUGCAAAAACUUUUAAAUUUAAUAGGUCUCAUUUGUUUAUUUAUUUAUUUUUUAUAUUCAUCACUCUAGGAGGUGGAUCUGAGAAGAUACUGCUGCAGUUUAUGUCAGAGAGUGUUCGGCCUAUAUUUUCCUUCAAGAGUUUUAUAGUAUCUGGUUGUACAUUUAGGUCUUUAAUCCGUUUUAAAUUUAUUUUUUCUAUAUGGUGUUAGAGAAUGUUUUAAUUUCAUUCUUUUGCGUGUAGCUGUCCGGUUUUCCCAGCACCACUUAUUGAAGAGACUGUCUUUUCUCCAUUGUAUAUUCUUACCUCCUUUGUCAUAGAUUAUUUGCAUGGGUUUAUUUCUGGGCUUUCUAUACUGUUCCAUUGAUCUAUAGUUUUGUUUUUGUGCCAGUAACAUACUGUUUUGAUGACUGUAGUUUUGUAGUAUAGUCUGAAGUCAGGGAGCCUGAUUCCCCUAUUUGUAUUUUUCUUUCUCAGGAUAGCUUUGGCUGUUUAGGGUCUUUUAUGUUUCCAUAAAAAUUUAAAAUUUUUUCAUUCUAGUUCUGUGAAAAAUGUCAUUGGUAAUUUGAGAGGGAUUGCAUUGAAUCUGUGGAUUGCUUUGGGUAGUAUACUCAUUUUGACAGUAUUGAUUCUUCUAAUCCAAGAACAUAGUCCAGAGAAAAACCAUAAUUUGAAAAGAUACAUGCACCCCAGUGUUUAUUGAAGCACUAUUUACAAUAGUAAGAAUGGAAGUAACCUAAGUAUCCAUCAACAGAGGAAUGGAUAAAGAAGAUGUGGUACAUAUAUACAAUGGAAUACUACUCAGCUAUAAAAAGGAAUUAAAUAAUGCCAUUUGCAGCAACAUGAAUGGGGCUAGAAAUUAUCAUACUAAGUGAAGUUAGCAGAGAGUGAAAGACAAACAUCAUAUGAUAUCACUUGUAUGUGAAAUCUAAAAAAAUGAUGCAAUUUGAACUUAUUUUCAGAACAGAAACAGACUGGACUUUGAAAAACUUAUGGUUACUAAAGGGGAGAGGUGGUGGAGGAAGGAUGGACUCAGGGUUUAGGAUUGACAUAGGCCCACUGAGGUAUGUGGAGUGACUGGCCAAUGGGGACCUGCUGUAUAGCACAGAGAACUCUACUUAGUAUUCUAUGAUAAUCUAUGUGGGAAAAGAAUCCAAAAGAGAAUGGAUGUGUGUAAAUAAAUGUAUAACUGAGUCACUUUGUUGUACAACAGAAAUGAUCACAACCUUGUAAAUCAACUGUAUUUCAAUAAAACUUAAAGAAAAAAA